UACGAAGGGGGCUAGCGUUGCUCGGAAUCACUGGGCGUAAAGCGCACGUAGGCGGAUUGUUAAGUCAGGGGUGAAAUCCUGGAGCUCAACUCCAGAACUGCCUUUGAUACUGACGAUCUCGAGUCCGGGAGAGGUGAGUGGAACUGCGAGUGUAGAGGUGAAAUUCGUAGAUAUUCGCAAGAACACCAGUGGCGAAGGCGGCUCACUGGCCCGGUACUGACGCUGAGGUGCGAAAGCGUGGGGAGCAAACAGG
rnacentral:rRNA from 1 species